rnacentral:sRNA from 1 species
GCCAGGUGAGGUGGCGCACGCCGGUCAUCCCAGCAGCUAGGGAGGCUGAGGCAGGAGGAUCGCAAGUUCAAAGCCAAGGCAUUAAGCAACUCAGUGAGACCUGUCUCUA